rnacentral:rRNA from 1 species
UAGGGAAUCUUCCGCAAUGGGCGAAAGCCUGACGGAGCAACGCCGCGUGAGUGAUGAAGGUCUUCGGAUCGUAAAACUCUGUUAUUAGGGAAGAACAAAUGUGUAAGUAACUAUGCACGUCUUGACGGUACCUAAUCAGAGAGCCACGGCUAACUACGUGCCAGCAGCCGCGGUAAAACGUAGGUGGCAAGCGUUAUCCGGAAUUAUUGGGCGUAAAGCGCGCGUAGGCGGUUUUUUAAGUCUGAUGUGAAAGCCCACGGCUCAACCGUGGAGGGUCAUUGGAAACUGGAAAACUUGAGUGCAGAAGAGGAAAGUGGAAUUCCAUGUGUAGCGGUGAAAUGCGCAGAGAUAUGGAGGAACACCAGUGGCGAAGGCGACUUUCUGGUCUGUAACUGACGCUGAUGUGCGAAAGCGUGGGGAUCAAACAGG